rnacentral:rRNA from 1 species
CACGUAGGGUGCGAGCGUUGUCCGGAAUUAUUGGGCGUAAAGAGCUCGUAGGCGGUGUGUCGCGUCGGCCGUGAAAACCUGCAGCUUAACUGUGGGCUUGCGGUCGAUACGGGCAGACUAGAGGCAUGCAGGGGAGAACGGAAUUCCUGGUGUAGCGGUGAAAUGCGCAGAUAUCAGGAGGAACACCGGUGGCGAAGGCGGUUCUCUGGGCAUGUCCUGACGCUGAGGAGCGAAAGUGUGGGGAGCGAACAGG